GUGAGGAAUAUUGGUCAAUGGACGAGAGUCUGAACCAGCCAAGUCGCGUGAAGGAAGACGGUUCUAUGAAUUGUAAACUUCUUUUGUGCAGGAAUAAAGUGGGUUACGUGUAACCUUUUGUAUGUACUGUACGAAUAAGGAUCGGCUAACUCCGUGCCAGCAGCCGCGGUAAUACGGAGGAUCCGAGCGUUAUCCGGAUUUAUUGGGUUUAAAGGGUGCGUAGGUGGAUUGAUAAGUCAGCGGUGAAAGUUUGCAGCUUAACUGUAAAAUUGCCGUUGAAACUGUCGGUCUUGAGUGCAAAUGAGGUAGGCGGAAUGUGUUGUGUAGCGGUGAAAUGCUUAGAUAUAACACAGAACUCCGAUUGCGAAGGCAGCUUACUGGGAUGCAACUGACACUGAUGCACGAAAGCGUGGGUAUCAAACAGGAUUAGAUACCCUGGUAAGUCC
rnacentral:rRNA from 1 species